CCACUUUCCCUCAUCAGUCCUGCAGUAUAUAACCGGCCCAUUUCCUCUCAUUCCCAAUGGUUUUAAUUUAUGUUUUCCCUUUCCAAUGAGGCUUAUGUCUUCAAUCUCCAACCUUCUGCACCCGGCCCUGAUCUGUUCUUGCUUUUUGUUGCCUGUUCCUGUCCUGCUCACCUGUCGUGCCUUUGUUGGAUUUGUUUGCCUGUUCACACUGCCAUCCUGUUGCCAACCAUGAAAGCCCGUUCCUGACCAUCAAGUUGAUAAACUGCAAACUGCAUGCUCAUCUAAUCAUCACUU